rnacentral:lncRNA from 1 species
GUUUCAGUCAGGAGCUAAUUUCAGCCUUCUGCUACCAAAGUAACAAUGUGGGGAGGAGAAAAGUACUUAUGUAAUAAUAAUAAUAAUAUAUUUAUAUAAAUAAUAUGUUUUUAUUGUCUCUCAUUCCCCUGUUAGGAAUCACAGUCGUCAGAAUGUUAUCAAACUGAUGAUGCUUCAUUAACAAAAUGGAAUUUUAAGAAAAUCUUUAAACUCUGUCUCUGCCUUAUCUUCCCACUGUGAAAGGACUCAGAUGCUGGCUAAUUUCCAAGAGACACUUAAGCAAAGUGUACAUGAGUAAGCAAUUACUGAGCAAGUAACUUCUGUACUGUGCUGCUUUGAGUGGCAGAAGUGCCCUUGUUUCAGCAGGAGACAGAAAAGUUCCCAAACAUAAGGUUCUGUUUUCCUCUGGCUUCUUCAUUUAUGUUAGACCUGGAACACAAUAUAUCUUUGCAGUUAAUAGAGGAU